UACAGAGGUCUCAAGCGUUGUUGGGAUUCAUUGGGCGUAAAGGGUGCGUAGGCGGCGCGGUAAGUCGGGUGUGAAAUCUCGGAGCUUAACUCCGAAACUGCAUUCGAUACUGCCGUGCUUGAGGACUGGAGAGGAGACUGGAAUUUACGGUGUAGCGGUGAAAUGCGUAGAUAUCGUAAGGAAGACCAGUGGCGAAGGCGGGUCUCUGGACAGUUCCUGACGCUGAGGCACGAAGGUCAGGGGAGCAAACGGG
rnacentral:rRNA from 1 species